AUAACCAACAUUAUGAAAGCGCUGCUGCCUUUUGGCCACAUGUUCAUGGACGCAUAAUAGCUAGCUUACUAAUAUCACAGCUGCUGCUAAUGGGCUUAUUGAGCACAAAAAAAGCUGCAAAUUCCACUCCUUUACUCGUUGUGUUACCUAUUUUGACUUUGACCUUCCACAAGUACUGCAAGAAUCGCUUUGAACCUGCAUUCAGAAGGUAUCCUCUUGAGGUGAGAUCCAGUGAAUAAUCGAUUAAGUUAUCAUUUUGUUCUGUUCUUACUAAGUUAGCUUAUCUUGGUUUUAUUUCUUAGUAGUUAAAUAUUAGAUCUGUUCAAUGUUGCCGCUGUUACAAUAGUCCAGGGAUUAGUCGAUCACAUGAAACUGCAGAAGUUCUCUUCCACGGACAUACACAUGUUUUUAUAUGAAAAUUUUGCCCACUCAGAAUUUUCAAUAUGUUUAUGGAGAGUAUUGAACAUUAGAAUGCUAUUGAAGUCUCUGAUGGCUAUGUUCUAACUAAAGUUUUCUUUUAGAAAAUGCUUUGAAUUGUCUCUUCUUCUGAUUGAUGUUCUUUUGAUCCUGAUUACUAAUUAUUUCUUUUGGCUAUUGAAACUCUUCAGGAGGUACCCAAGGAAAAUAUUUUCCUUAAAAACAAGGAAAAUUAGGCAUAUUUUCAAAAGUUGGAAAAUGUUUUUCAUGGAAAAAAAUAGCAAACAAACACUCCAAGUAGAAAUUUGGGUGAAAAACUGAUAUUUUACCUUUAAAAUAAGUUAUCCAAACAUAUUUGGAAACAAAAAGUUACUUAAAAUGGUAUCUUUUAAAUUUUGUUUAAGCUUCACUAAACAUGCUUGUACUAUUAUAAUUGUUUCAAAUAUAGCCUAUUGGCAAAUAUUUUGAAGGACAUGCAUAGGUAAAAUAUAUUGUCACUUUUGGCAUUGUAAUUGGUAUAAGUUAAGUAAAGCACGAUUUUUUAACUUGUGGUUUCGAUAGACAAUGGAUGUAAUAAAUUCCAAUCUGAGAUCUUUGAUGUUACCGCUCAUUCUCAUUCAGGUCAUUAAUGUAUAUAACCAACAUUAUGAAAGCGCUGCUGCCUUUUGGCCACAUGUUCAUGGACGCAUAAUAGCUAGCUUACUAAUAUCACAGCUGCUGCUAAUGGGCUUAUUGAGCACAAAAAAAGCUGCAAAUUCCACUCCUUUACUCGUUGUGUUACCUAUUUUGACUUUGACCUUCCACAAGUACUGCAAGAAUCGCUUUGAACCUGCAUUCAGAAGGUAUCCUCUUGAGGUGAGAUCCAGUGAAUAAUCGAUUAAGUUAUCAUUUUGUUCUGUUCUUACUAAGUUAGCUUAUCUUGGUUUUAUUUCUUAGUAGUUAAAUAUUAGAUCUGUUCAAUGUUGCCGCUGUUACAAUAGUCCAGGGAUUAGUCGAUCACAUGAAACUGCAGAAGUUCUCUUCCACGGACAUACACAUGUUUUUAUAUGAAAAUUUUGCCCACUCAGAAUUUUCAAUAUGUUUAUGGAGAGUAUUGAACAUUAGAAUGCUAUUGAAGUCUCUGAUGGCUAUGUUCUAACUAAAGUUUUCUUUUAGAAAAUGCUUUGAAUUGUCUCUUCUUCUGAUUGAUGUUCUUUUGAUCCUGA
rnacentral:lncRNA from 1 species